GCCAGUUAUAACUCAAGCCUUUAAAACCAGGCAAGUCACAAUAGGCUCUUCAAACACCUUUCUGACAUAACUAAGGCAAUCAGCCCAUUGCGCCAUAACCAGAAGACAAUAUCUAAUGGCAAUUGCCAUGUAUAGUGUGAAGGCCUUUCCUUGUGGAUUCAGAAUGGAGCAUGGACCACAAUUCUCAGAAGCGACUUCUAGAGAGGGUCUUGCUGUCCACUCCAGGCUGGAGUGCAGUGGUGCAAUCUCAGCUUACUACGGCCUCCACCUCCUGGGCUCAAGCAAUCCUCCCACCUCAGCCUCCUGAGUAGCUGAGACUACAGACAUGUCCUGCCAUACCCAGUCUUUUUUUUUUUCCAUUUUUUGUAGCGACAGGAUCUUGCUGUUUCCCGAACUCAUCUAGAACACCUGGGCUGAAGCAACCCUCCCUCCUCAGCCUCCCAAAGCACUUGGAUUACAGGCUUGAGCCACUGUGCCUGGCCAGGAAUAAAUUUCUAACCCAUCCCAUGACUCCCAGCAGAAGGAAAGUCUAAAUUUAGCCAUAGUUUCAGAAACAAUGCCCUUACAUGACGUGAAAUAAACAGGUCUUUAAGAGAGAGGUGCCAGCUCCUCGUUCGUGGAUGCAUUUGUCCACCUAGGAAUAGACACACGCUGCACAUUUCCUGCAUGCUGGGCUCUGUAAGGAGGAAGGGAGAGGCCCCUGCUUGGAGAAGCUUUCCAUCCAACAGAUGUGGAUGCUACCUAUGCCACCAGUGUCAAACAUAACUUCAGGAUCACAGAAGAGGCCGAGAGUGCUAAAAGGUCACGCUGGAAUGAAGCAUAUGAGGUGAGAACAUAGCAAGAAGCUACCAUCUGUGCACCAGGAAAUGGGCCCUCACAAGACAUCAAAUCUGCCAGCCACCUCAAUGGUGGGCUUUCCAGCCUCCAGAACUGUGAGAAAUAAAUUUCUGUUUUUAUAAGCCACCUGGUUUAUGGUAUUUUGUUACAGCAACCUAAACAGACUAAGACAAUUGGCAAGAUCAGAUGUAUUUGGCAAAGAUUUGCAUAGACUAGAGUCCCGCUGUGUGGCUGGAGCAAGGGAAGCUUGCGCUGUGCCUCAGGUUGAUCCAGUCCUUACCUUGUGGCCUUGCCCGAUCCUCACAGCACCCCUCGGUGGUGAGAAUGAUUAUCUCCAUUCUAUGGAUGAGGAUAUGGAUAACCAGAGAGGUUAAGUGAACAGCCUCAGAUCACACAGCCAAUUCAAGUCAGGGCUGCUGCAGAGAGCCUGAAACAGGGGGAUCCUGGGAGGGAAGGAAGAGCAUGCAUCCUCUCACCCAAAACAGAUGUCUGGCUGAGUUCCAAAAGCAAAAGUACUCUGAGUGGGUCCCACCCCUGAUGGGGAAGGCAGCCCCCUGGCCACCAGCCUGGGGAGGCCACACAGUUGCUGCUAUCCCAUGGGCAGCUGGCCCCUUCCUCCCACAAACAGCAGCACCUGCUCACCAGAUCACCAGGCAGAGGCAAGAUGAAUGUUCGCAGCACCACGUCCUGCUGAAGCUCUACACAAACACAGCACCCAUGGCAACCAAACAGAGGGCAAACACAGGAGCAGGAAUGCCGCUGUGAGAACAAGGCCCAGGAGUGACAGCCACGAGCCACCCACUUUAUGGGCACUUACUAAGUGCCAGGCGCCACAUCAAGGAUUAAAUACCUUAUUUAAUCAUCGAUGCAGCCUGAUGAGGAAUGUGCCAUUGCUGCCCGCUUUAACAACAACGAAACAGACAUGAGCAGAGUUGAUGGAAGCUGUGUAAGGAGAGAACCAAAGGCUCUGUCUGAGCCCGGGUGUCUGAUGCCACAACCCAGCCACAAUCUCCAUGCUACCAUUUCCCCUGACAGACACCGAAGUAACACAGCCCCUCGGGAGAGCUGGGCCCCCAAGUUAGGGACAGGUAAAUGGCGACACAGAAUAUAAGCUCCUCCAAGGCAGGAAUUUUGUGUUUUGCUCAUUGAUGGGAAGCAAGCUUCUACAAUAGUGCCAGGCAGGUGGAUGACUUUGAAUAAGUAUUUGUUGGCCAGGGGCGGUGGCUCACACUUGAAAUCCUUGCACUUUGGGAGGCUGAGGCAGGUGGGUUGCUUGAGCCCAGGGGAUUGAGACCAGCCUGGGCAGCAUGGUGAAACCCUGUCUCUACAAAAAAUACACACAAAAAAAUUAACCAAGCAUGGUGGCGGUUGCCUGUAGUCCCAGCUGCUUGGGAGUCU
rnacentral:lncRNA from 10 species